rnacentral:lncRNA from 1 species
UUAACUUCACCAAAAAUGAAUAGACAAAACAUCAACCGGCUCACAAGUUUUUUAACCGGCAAAUAGACAGAACAUCAACUGGCUUACAAGUUUUUCAAUCAGCAAAUAGACAGAACACCAGAAACGCGCUCCACGAAUUUUUUAACUUCACCGUUGAUGCAAUACAAGUUUUUUAAGUAAACGAAGCCAAGGAACAUACCACUCAAACAGCAGUACAGCACAAGCACGCUGCACUCAUAUACAAUCUCACUAACCUCAAACAUGAAGCUGCUAGUGGAGCGGCCAAAGAUGGAGGCGGCAAACUGUAGCCAGAGCAGGAUGGAGAGGCCAGAAGAGAGCAACCCACCAAGGUAGAGGUACUCCCUGCGCUUGGCCACGAUGGCAGCGCAAGAGAAGCAUGCGAAGGCAAUGGCCCCAACAAAUGCUGUCAUCAGGAUGCUGUCAAACACAACAGAAGCAACAGGUAAGCUACAUCAGUUAACAAAGAAAACAAUUAGUAUGUUUAUGAUGGUGAUUAACAACAGAUCUAAGAUUGAGGUUUUCGAGCAAAUUCAUGGCUCGGAGUACUCUGGUGUAUAAAUUUAAUUCAGAAUACAGCACAAGAAAAUUCAGCUCAUCAUGCCAAGAUAAUUAAAUAAAGCAGCAGCUCAGCCCUUCACCUAACAGAAUCAGCAAAAAGGCCCAAGCCCAACGCAUGACACCAUCAUACACAAAUCAGAGUUCUAAGACACCUGAGCAGAUUACAUGUUGCUAGCUAAGGCAUUUAAAGAGAGCAUGCACAAAUGCUAAUGGUCCAAAUGGAAGCCAAACAAACAGAAGUAUGCAGUAGCACUUCCCCUAAAUGGUCAGGACCAACAUAUCAUCUGAAAACCAUUCAAUUCUUAAAUUUAUCUCUUGCAAACCAUGUUAUUCAAUGCCAGGUCCCCCAUCAAGUAAUUCAAAAGCUCACAGGUUAUGAAAAAGACAUACUGCUGAUGAAAACUAGGACAAGAAGAGCUUCAGAUUACAGCUAUCUUAGUCAUACUAGCAGUCUUUUAGAAAAUUGGAACCUAAUUGCAUGACUUUCUAAUUGCAUUAACUAUUAAGAUAUGUCACCAAUUUUCCAAAAGAUUUAUUUGCCAAACAGCUCUGCAUGUGGCCAACCAACCAACAGGCUAACAUGCUUCCUUGCCUAACACAAUAUCACCAGCUAUACUCUGCCUAUAUCUGCCAUCCAUAUCGAGGCACAUAACUCAAGCCAUUAAUUUUAGUAUUUUGGGAGCUAAAAUGAUUUCAAAAGAAGGAACUGGUGGUUCUUAUUGAACUUUGCAUUUUCUUCAUUUUUAGAACUCUUCACUGCCUUCAAGGAAAUAUGACAAAAAAAAAACAUUCAGCGUAAAUAUAAUGAUGGUUUCUAUUAUGCAUGCAUGCAUAGUAUAAUACUGUCUGGCAGAUAGGAUUUUCUCCACAAGUCAAUGCAAGAUAACAUGGAGUGCGGAUAGGAAAUUAUGCAACUAAAAAGGGAACAGAAAAGGAGGUUUAGCAACAAUUUUCCUACAAUACCAAUUGUUACAAAACUAACCUACAGACAUACAACAAAGCAUGAAGCUUUAAACAAAUGUAGCAUCGAGACAACUCAAAGUACUCAAUUUUAGAGGGAAGAGAGGACAUGAAGUCGUCAUAGAUAAAGGUGUUAUAACUCAUGAUGCAAGGAUAAACAGAAAAAAAAGAGAGACUCAUUCCAGUAUUCUGCUAAUGACUAUAGAUGCAUGGUGGUUCCUAAUUGCAUGACUUCUACAUCAUGACUCCUUUCGAAGUGACCAAUGUGAAAACUGUCAAAUCUUUGAUUGCAACAGGAGUGUAGGCUGAAGCUUAGUAGGCAACAAAUUUCAAGUAGGCAAUCAUAGCAAGCCAUGGCCUUAUUGGUCGAUCCACAAGUAAAGAUUGCUUACAUAGCACCACAACAAGGCAGGCAACCAGCAGCAUACAGGCAAAGAAAUCUAUGCCCGGAACCGCGAUUGGAUCUGGGGAGGAAAAGAAGGAGAAAGGAAGGGCUUACCGUUGGGACGAGGCAAGGCGGGGAAGUCACGGAGCAGUGGAUGGAGAGGCGGCGGGGAAGUCACCGGAUCUUGGAGAUCGAGCCGGCCGGGGAUGGAGAGGCGGCGGCGGCGAGCCGCAGGGAGGCGGAGUGGCACGCAAGGAGGAGGAGCGGCGCGCAGGGAGGCGGAGGCGGCGUGUCGCUAGAGAGAGGACGGGG